UACAGAGGGGGCAAGCGUUGCUCGGAAUUACUGGGCGUAAAGGGCGCGUAGGCGGGGUGGCAAGUCGGUCGUGAAAUCCCUCGGCUCAACUGAGGAGCGUCGAUCGAAACUGCCGUUCUUGAGGGUUGCAGAGGAGACUGGAAUUCCCGGUGUAGCGGUGAAAUGUGUAGAGAUCGGGAGGAACACCGGUGGCGAAGGCGGGUCGCUGGGCAACUCCUGACGCUGAGGCGCGAAAGCGUGGGGAGCAAACGGG
rnacentral:rRNA from 1 species